ACCCGCACAAGCGGUGGAUGAUGUGGUUUAAUUCGAUGCAACGCGAAAAACCUUACCCACCUUUUGACAUGGCAGGAAUCCCGAAGAGAUUUGGGAGUGCUCGAAAGAGAACCUGCACACAGGUGCUGCAUGGCUGUCGUCAGCUCGUGUCGUGAGAUGUUGGGUUAAGUCCCGCAACGAGCGCAACCCUUGCCAUUAGUUGCUACGAAAGGGCACUCUAAUGGGACUGCCGGUGACAAACCGGAGGAAGGUGGGGAUGACGUCAAGUCCUCAUGGCCCUUAUAGGUGGGGCUACACACGUCAUACAAUGGCCGGUACAGAGGGUAGCCAACCCGCGAGGGGGAGCCAAUCCCACAAAGCCGGUCGUAGUCCGGAUCGCAGUCUGCAACUCGACUGCGUGAAGUCGGAAUCGCUAGUAAUCGCGGAUCAGCAUGUCGCGGUGAAUACGUUCCCGGGUCUU
rnacentral:rRNA from 1 species